GUAUAAAUAUCUUGGGGGUGGGGUAGACUGGAGGAAUGCCCCGGUGUGGUGUGCGGUGCUCGGCGCAGGUUUGUUUACAAACAUUGGCUGACCUUUAACUCCUCCAUCCCGAUUGCUCGAGCCCUGCAAAAUUUCUCUCUGCCCCCCUUGGAGUAGGGAAGAAUAUGAAACUGAAGUUAGAAGACUGUACAAGAUUGAAAUAAGCUGAUCAAGAUGGCCUUGGGAUGGAUAGGGCAACUGUGUUGGAGUGGCGGCAGUGGGUGAGUGAAGUGGCGCACACCCAGAGAAUGGACUGGCCAGCUGUUUAUAGUGAAGGUUGACUGAUGGGUGUGUUGAUCUCCCACUGCUGUGUCUGCAAGGUCUCUCUCCAUCCAGGCAAGCUGUUUGGGGGCUGCGACACCUGACGUAGACCGCAAUUCAUCACACAGCUGAAAGAAGCAAUGACACAAAAAGAAGAGAAGUUCCUGCUCCAUUGGUGAUCAGUCUUGCCUCAAAAGAACAUAAAUAAAGACCAAUCAUGAAAGAAAGGAACUGGACUAUAAACGAUUUAGAUAAUUACAAGUGUUCUAAUGAAUUUGUCAAAUAAAUGUACAUAAAUAUA